UUUUUUUUUAAGUUCUAUAUAAAGUAAAUUUAUCCAUAAAAAUUAGCUAUAUUUAAGAUUAAACUCUAUAUUUCUAUAUAGGUAUUGAAAAAAAAACUGUUUUAGAGUUUUUUACACAGUCUUACAGUGUUAACUACUCACUAUCGCUUUCUUUGUCUUGACAAUUCUCUACUCUCACAACAUCUCAGGCAAUUUUUGCAUUUUUCCCUAUACCCAUUUCUUUCUUUCGCUAUCCCAUUUAUCUAUCUCCAUCACAACUCUAUAGAAAACAGUUUUUUUGACUCUCUCUAAUUUCUGUUCUUGUACAAAAUUGUGUCAAUUAAAGGAAAAACUAGAAAUUUUAUAAAUCCCCUAGUCUAAUACCAAAAGUCUUUUGCUAAGUCUCUUGGUAGUCUUGUAGGGUUAAACACCAAAACUAUUUGAAUAUAUUUAUAAAGAUUUUAGGUUUUUGUUUUUAGAAGAUAGCUUGAAACCCCCUUAUGGCAAUGAACCCUUUUCUGAAAUACUCAUUUGCAUGGCACUGGCCGCAAGAGGGUUUCGUUUACAUACAAAUCAGCUGGUAUUCACUUAUUUAGUAGUUGCAUGUGUAUACCCACCCAAGCAUGUGGGGGCUGCUAACGUUAGGAUUCUGAGUGACAUUCUUUACUUAAUCACAGUAUUUUAUCAAUGAUAUUAUAGCAAAUAUAAGAUUUUAUAUUGUUCCCAUACAUCUCUCAAGCUAUGGCAACUGUCGCAAAUGCUCUCUCUCUCACACUCUUUUUCUCUCUCUGUAUCCCACUCUACUCUCAAACUCUCUAUCUGUCUGUCUACCAUAGUAAGGAAAUUGACAAACGAUUUCCGUUAUGCAGUUACAAAAGUCGAGUGUUCUCUAGUCACUAGAAACCCUAACGCAAACGCCUCUUGUUUGAAUAGAUUUUAAUAUAGGAAAACGUAAUGAAAAAAAAAAAUAUAAUCAACAAAAUCAGCUUCAAAGGCCGAUCUCAGUACUAAAAAAACUAA
rnacentral:sRNA from 1 species